GACGAACGCUGGCGGCGUGCUUAACACAUGCAAGUCGAACGGAAAGGCCCUGCUUGCAGGGUACUCGAGUGGCGAACGGGUGAGUAACACGUGGGUGAUCUGCCCUGCACUUCGGGAUAAGCCUGGGAAACUGGGUGUAAUACCGGAUAUGACCUUCCCUGCAGUGUGGGGGGGGGUAGGAUUUAUCGGUGUGGGGUGAGCCCGCGGCCUAUCAGCUUGUUGGUGGGGUAAUGGCCUACCAAGGCGUCGACGGGUAGCCGGCCUGAGAGGGUGGACGGCCACAUUGGGACUGAGAUACGGCCCAGACUCCUACGGGAGGCAGCAGUGGGGAAUAUUGCACAAUGGGCGGAAGCCUGAUGCAGCGACGCCGCGUGGGGGAUGACGGCCUUCGGGUUGUAAACCUCUUUCGACAGGGACGAAGCUUCGGUGACGGUACCUGUAUAAGAAGCACCGGCUAACUACGUG
rnacentral:rRNA from 1 species